AGAGUUUGAUCCUGGCUCAGCCUGAACGCUGGCGGCGUGGCUAAGACAUGCAAGUCGAACGGGGCCCGCAAGGGUCCAGUGGCGGACGGGUGAGUAAUGUAUCGCUAACGUACCCUAGAGUCAGGGAUAGCUGUCCGAAAGGGCAGGUAAUACCUGAUGAUAUGUUCCUAUCGCAUGACAGGAACCUCAAAGGAGCAAUCCGUUCUGGGAGCGGGCGAUAUCGUAUCAGCUAGUUGGUGAGGUAACGGCUCACCAAGGCGACGACGCGUAGCCGGGCUGAGAGGUCGGCCGGCCACAUUGGGACUGAGACACUGCCCAGACUCCUACGGGGGGCUGCAGUAACGAAUCUUCCGCAAUGCACGAAAGUGUGACGGAGCGACGCCGCGUGUAGGAGAAGCCCUUCGGGGUGUAAACUACUGUCAGGGGUUACCAAGUUCUGAGGAGCCCCAGAGGAAGGCACGGCUAACUCUGUGCCAGCCGCCGCGGUAAUAC
rnacentral:rRNA from 1 species